UUUCCGUAGGUGAACCUGCGGAAGGAUCAUUCAUAAUAAAGUGUUUUAUGGCACUUUUUAAAAAUCCAUAUCCACCUUGUGUGCAAUGUUAGAUUUCGUCAAUCUUGGCGAGAUUUUUAUACAUCAACUCAUUCUUUAACUAAUUUGUCUGAAAAAUAUUAUGAAUACUUAAUUCAAAAUACAACUUUCAACAACGGAUCUCUUGGCUCUC
rnacentral:misc_RNA from 1 species